CCUACGGGAGGCAGCAGUGGGGAAUAUUGGGCAAUGGGCGCAAGCCUGACCCAGCAACGCCGCGUGAAGGAAGAAGGCUUUCGGGUUGUAAACUUCUUUUCUCAGGGACGAAGCAAGUGACGGUACCUGAGGAAUAAGCCACGGCUAACUACGUGCCAGCAGCCGCGGUAAUACGUAGGUGGCAAGCGUUAUCCGGAUUUACUGGGUGUAAAGGGCGUGUAGGCGGGGACGCAAGUCAGAUGUGAAAACCACGGGCUCAACCUGUGGCCUGCAUUUGAACCUGUGUUCCUUGAGUACUGGAGAGGCAGACGGAAGUCCUAGUGUAGCGGUGAAAUGCGGAGAUAUUAGGAGGAACACCAGUGGCGAAGGCGGUCUGCUGGACAGCAACUGACGCUGAGGCGCGAAAGCGUGGGGAGCAAACAGGAUUAGAGACCCGAGUAGUC
rnacentral:rRNA from 1 species